rnacentral:lncRNA from 1 species
CGAAGGCCUUGCCAAAUAAAUGAUCUAGUUCAUUAAUUGAGAAAAUUCUCUCCCCUCUAACUAUAUCCUCCUUUAUCGUGACCAAAUUCUCCAGAAUAUCUGGAAGUAACAUCAAAUAGUUGAAAUAUAAGGGCCUAGACCAAAUCUAUUUCUUUUUUGUACAUCUUGUGUUUAAGUACAUUGCUUCGAAUUGAGGGGUCUGGUUUAUUAAAGACAAGCCUCUUAUACUGAAACCUUGUUUCCAUAGUAUAGUUAUGAAUCAGGAGGAUUUAUAUAUUGGUUUAUUAUGGUGUAAAGUUAAGGACCUACUUAUCGACAUGAUGAACACUCAUAAUGCUGCUCAAAUUAGUAAUCUCUUGCCAAGGUAUAAGAUAUAGAGCUCACAAGCGAAU